GACGAACCGUCCAAACGUUAUUCGGAAUCACUGGGCUUACAGAGUUCGUAGGCGGUCUGGAAAGUUGGGUGUGAAAUCCCUCGGCCUAACCGAGGAACUGCGCUUGAAACUACCAGACUCGAGGGGGAUAGAGGAAAGCGGAACUGAUGGUGGAGCGGUGAAAUGCGUUGAUAUCAUCAGGAACACCGGUGGCGAAGGCGGCUUUCUGGGUCUUACCUGACGCUGAGGAGCGAAAGCGUGGGGAGCGAACAGG
rnacentral:rRNA from 1 species